GACGAACGCUGGCGGCGUGCCUAAUACAUGCAAGUAGAACGCACAGUUUAUACCGUAGCUUGCUACACCAUAAACUGUGAGUUGCGAACGGGUGAGUAACGCGUAGGUAACCUGCCUGGUAGCGGGGGAUAACUAUUGGAAACGAUAGCUAAUACCGCAUCAUAUUAAUUAUUGCAUGAUAAUUGAUUGAAAGAUGCAAUUGCAUCACUACCAGAUGGACCUGCGUUGUAUUAGCUAGUAGGUGAGGUAACGGCUCACCUAGGCGACGAUACAUAGCCGACCUGAGAAGGUGAUCGGCCACACUGGGACUGAGACACGGCCCAGACUCCUACGGGAGGCAGCAGUAGGGAAUCUUCGGCAAUGGACGAAAGUCUGACCGAGCAACGCCGCGUGAGUGAAGAAGGUUUUCGGAUCGUAAAGCUCUGUUGUAAGAGAAGAACGGGUGUGAGAGUGGAAAGUUCACACUGUGACGGUAUCUUACCAGAAAGGGACGGCUAACUACGUG
rnacentral:rRNA from 1 species